AGAGUUUGAUCCUGGCUCAGGAUGAACGCUAGCGGCAGGCUUAACACAUGCAAGUCGAGGGGUAUAGGUUUUCGGACCUAGAGACCGGCGCACGGGUGCGUAACGCGUAUGCAAUCUACCUUUCACAAAGGGAUAGCCCAGAGAAAUUUGGAUUAAUACCUUAUAGUAAUACGACUUGGCAUCAAGAUGUAUUUAAAGAUUUAUCGGUGAAAGAUGAGCAUGCGUCCCAUUAGCUAGUUGGUAAGGUAACGGCUUACCAAGGCAACGAUGGGUAGGGGUCCUGAGAGGGAGAUCCCCCACACUGGUACUGAGACACGGACCAGACUCCUACGGGAGACAGCAGUGAGGAAUAUUGGACAAUGGGCGCAAGCCUGAUCCAGCCAUGCCGCGUGCAGGAUGACGGUCCUAUGGAUUGUAAACUGCUUUUAUACGAGAAGAAACAACUCUACGUGUAGAGUCUUGACGGUAUCGUAAGAAUAAGGAUCGGCUAACUCCGUGCCAGCAGCCGCGGUAAUACGGAGGAUCCAAGCGUUAUCCGGAAUCAUUGGGUUUAAAGGGUCCGUAGGCGGCCAGAUAAGUCAGUGGUGAAAGCCCAUCGCUCAACGGUGGAACGGCCAUUGAUACUGUCUGACUUGAAUUAUUAGGAAGUAACUAGAAUAUGUAGUGUAGCGGUGAAAUGCUUAGAGAUUACAUGGAAUACCAAUUGCGAAGGCAGGUUACUACUAAUUGAUUGACGCUGAUGGACGAAAGCGUGGGUAGCGAACAGGAUUAGAUACCCUGGUAG
rnacentral:rRNA from 1 species